GUUGUUUCCAAUUUUUAUCAAUGGAAAUUUCUUUGAUAAAUUUUGGUACAUUCCUAUAGUAGAAUGCUGUGAGGCUGAGAAUGAAGUAAAACUGUACAUUGACAUGGGAAGAUAUCUAAGAUUAUUCAAAGAAGAAAAUAGGUUGCAAAUAGAACAGAGAAGACUCAAGCAUUGCUAAAGUAUACACAAAAAAUUAAACAUAUGCUAAUAUGUUUCUAAAAUACAGUAGAAAUCUAUACGAGCAAUGUACGCUCAACUGCAUGGUGCCUCUGUUUUCCUUACAGAUGCUGCUUUGACAAGACCGCGUCAUGAAGCCUCUGCCGGCCCAAACUCCUACGGAAACCCGCCUGCUCAGGCUCAGUCUCCACCUGUUAUUCCUCACCCUGUGCAUGCCUCCCAUUCUAACAUGUCUUGUCAUGCACCCCCACCUCACCCCGUGGCACCCCCACCCCCUACUAAUUUAGACAGCACAGCUGCACCAAUCCCGCAGCAUCUUCAUGCCACAAACCAGCCAAUUCCGUAUUACAUUCCAGGCACUGCACCUCCAGGACAGAGACUGCAUCAUCACGAAGUUACGCAGAGGAUGGUAGAUCGAAGGAUGAUGAUGCAGCAUACAAUGCUGGCACCUGAGUGCCCCCCACCUCACCCACAUAGGAUGCACCCCUACAGUGGACACGGACAUCCUGUGCCUGGGACUAUGUCCUCACAUCCUCGGGGCCUGGGAGCUGAAGCUGGAGGGGCUGUACCUGCUGAGGCACCUGGAGCACCGCAUCCCCACUUGGACCAUCACCAUAUAUCACUUGGACUUCACUUCGUAUUUGUACGAGUUCUUCCUUUACUGAUACUGGAACCUUUACAAGAAAGAGAAAAUGUCAACAGUGGAGCAUCUGAGGAGACGAUCGAGAGAUGCACAUACCCACAUAAAUACAAAAAAAAAGUAAGAAUUUAUUCUGCGUGAUGUCUACUUUAUUGAAAUGUAUAAGAUUUAGUAUUGUGGACCUUUGAAUUCAACUACAUUAUUACUAAAGCAACACAUGCAUAUGAUUUUUUAAAAUUUGAAAGUUUAAAAAUAUAUAUUCUGAAGUUUCUUACCCUGAUGACCCAAGUUUUUCUUCCCAGAAGAAAAAUCAUAGUUAAGGGUUUCUUACGUAAUCUAGGUAUUUUUGGGCAUUAAUAAUGUACAUAUGUAUGCAUUUCCCCUUCUACUUUUAAAAAUGACACAAAGAGGAUGAUAAGCGCACCGUUUUUGUGCAUUGUUUUCAUUCUGGAUCAGAACAUGCCACCCAUAUUCUCUUUAAUAACUUAUACUGUACUUUAACUGGCCACUUAUUUUGACAUUUAGUUAACCUACAUUUCUUACAUUGUACCCUCAAUUUAUAGUAUUAUUUAUAGAAGUUGUGCAAUAGACAUGCUAUAUAGAUUUCUUUCAACAAACAACUAUGCUAUGCAGACUGAUAAUAAGAAAGUGAAAAAUCACUGUAUUUUUCAUCUGUCUUCUAAGAGUAUUAAAGAGGUAUUACCACUAAAUUUAAGUCCUUUCAGUUGUCUAAGCUAAAGACUAUGUCAUCAGAUUAAUUUAUUUGGAGAUUAUUUGAAAAUUCCUUAGUAAAGGGUAUGUGUUAUGAUGGGACAAAAAUAGAGUUUAUAAUCAUCCUAACAGUGUAUUAAAAAUACUAGUUUUCCCAGUAAUUAAUUAGUUACAUUUAAUUUUCCUUUUGAUGCUGCUUAAUUAAGUCUUAAAAUAACUUAGUUGAAAAUAGUCACUUAAUUCAUCCAUUAACUCAUCACAGUUAUACCUGGGAGAUAAGUUGUGGCUGAACGUGUAGUUUUGUUUUGCAU